CACCUGUCCGAGGCACCUGUUUCUGGCCAGCGUGGCCCGUGCACAGAGAGCCCUGCUGUCACAUGCUUCAUCUGCUUUGUGGUUGUCUUUCUCCCUGCAGAGCACGAGCCCUUGAAGAGCAAGCUCCAUAUUCGUGGCUUUCUAUCCCUGGUCCUUACAGACACGCGAGCAGAUGCGUAAACAGAGUACCCACCGUCUUCUAUUCAUGUGGGUCUGAAGGGAGGCACUCUGGAAGUUCAUGGCACGGCCAAGGAGAAUGCAGCUGCCCUUCUGAUGUCAGUGUGGUGCUAGAGGCCCGCUUCUUCCCCCUCCCCUCCCCGCUGACAUGGUGGGCUCUUGUUCUAGUCCAAAUAUCUCUUUGGGCCGAUAGAUUAAAUAGCCUGAUCUGUUUUUUCCCAUUGAACUGGGUCUUUUUUUUUUUUUCUUGACUAGAUUUCUCGUGAUUCUAAACUCCUUAGAAUCAGCUAGUAGCCUUGGUUAUAUAAAUAAUCAAUAAUCAUUUAUUGAAUUUUCUGAAAGUAAUGACUCUAAGUUUACUUUUUACAGGAAAAAAAUCCCACUGAGAAAGAUUCUACCUUGAAUUAAAUUUUUAUGUUUAGACUCACAACAGGAAUCGUAAACAAGAAAUCGGUUUCUCGUAAGUGAGAUACUUGCACACCUGGAAACCACGGUGAUCGCUGAUCUUAUUUGGAAGAAGAAGCCUAUAACCUGAGGUUAAAUCCCAGGAAGGGACUUCGAAGUGGGCUCACACUGCACUGAUUCAGACCAGGGUCACUUCUGUCCUCCCUUCUAAGACCGGCCCAAGUCCCUUGGUGCUGGUGACCCCAAGGCUCAGCUCAGCGGCUCAACAAUGGCCUUCACUGCUUCUGCCUCUUUGCUUCGUGUGUUCCCCUCUAAGCCCAAAUUUCUUCCUUCCCCCAGAUUCUCACAGGACCAGUGGCAUGUUCUCCUGCUCUUCUGGUUGGUGGGAAUGGGGCUGUAAAGCUGGGUUUCUUCUCCAGAUGACCCUGGCAGCACAAGUUCUGAUUCGACUGACGUCCUGUUGUUUCCCAUUUGCGCACCCAUCAUGUGCCGUGUGUACAGGCGGGAGUUUCUGCAGCCUGCUGUCUCUGGGGUCUUUUGCCCUGGCACGAGAGCCCUGUGGAGGCCCCCAGCCCCCCCGCACCUGUGCUCUGUGCACACACGUCAGACAGAGCCACGGUUUCUGCCUGGCGCUGGCUGUCCUGGCACGGGGCCAGUGCUGCCAUUGGAGGAUGGAAGGUAACGGGUAUCACUAUGGCAUGACCCCCUCAGAUCCUUGGUGGAUUUUCUCCUGCACGGUUUUGAUUGUUGGGCAGCCCUUCCUGACAAGGACGUGGAGAUUUGAAGGUGUUCAGUUGCAAGGCUUUGUAGGGUUUUCUGGGUCAAGCACCGAUUCUGGGGGGCUGCUUUGAAAUGCCCUGUGGCCAAGCCUCUGGUCUUGAGCGGCUGCCUUGUAUCAUGGCAUGAGUGAAAAUGAGGCUGUCUUGUCAUUUGCGGACACAUUGGCUGAGUCUGUCUUUCAUUAAUUUUUUCAGCAUGUUUUUAUUGAGUGUAUACCAGGAAGGAAGGCAUGAAGCGAAAUUGGAUGGAACAUGAUCACCCCCUCUCGGAACCCCAAAUCACGUCCCCAGCGGCAUGGGGCGUCCCUUCUCCGGGUUCCUCAGCCUCUUGGCACAAAGGCUUCUGCUGGAGGGACCCUUCCUUUCUGGCACGGAUUGACCUGAGAAGCACAGGCUGUGCGAAUUCCACCAGUGAGCAGGGCAGAGGGAGGCACCAGGCAUGCUGUGUCCCUGAGAGGCUGGGCCAUGUCUCAGGACGAAGGAGGCAGGUGGAGACCGGGAGGUCCGGGAUGACAGAUCCAUGGCCCAGAGCAUUCCCAGACGUCUGCACCCCCCUGGGAUGGCAUGCUUACUGUGACUCAGUCAGCAGUGCUCUGGCAGCCCAAGAGCUACUUCCGAAGACUCCCUCCCUCCUAUCCCAGGGAGAUAUUAACACAGCUUUUUAAAUCUGUGACUUCUUCACAGCUCCCUCCUUUCCUGCGGAGAGAGGACAGAGGCCUGUUUGGGAGGGCAGUGGGGGUGCAGCCAGGAUGCCUGGUGGGGCCCUGCCCACGUAGCCCCAAUGACAAGGGCAGCACGUCCUUCCUACUGCCCCUUCCCCAGCACUUCGGCUCUGUCCUGUGAGCCCCUGGGCUCAGUACCCUGAGACACUAAAAGAUCCACGCAAGCCCGUCUGCCUGCUCCUCAGGAGUUCAGAGGAGGGAGUGUUUCCACUGGGGGGCCGGGUGCUGGCUGUGGUCUCAAGCUCCGAGAUGCAGGGCGUGGACCAACAGUGAAGGGGAGAGGCACGUGUUGGGAGUGCAGGGCGUCAGCCCGGGGAAGGACUAGGAACAGGGAAAGGAAAAUGGAGUUGACCCCCAGCCUGGAUUGCUGAGAAUAAAGAGCCUACCGAGGGAUUCUGGAAAGUGAGCUGCACCUCAGGUAGGCUCUUGGGGCAGACGCUUCUGAGAGGAGUCGUUAGGGUGGCCCUGGGAGCGGAGCAGCCUGCUAAGUGAGUAACAUCCCGGGCGGGACAUGAAGGUGUCCGCUGUAGGGGAGGAGGGGAAGAGCCGUUGCCACAGAUGGUGCAGCCAGCAGCCCAACUGCAGAGAGAUGGCGACCGGGGAGGCCCCGGGGGCUGGACGGUGUGAGUCAGCUGCCCCCCAGAAGUGCAAAAGGAGCCGGAGACAGAGCUGAGGGCCGAGGAAGAGGUGCCUUGGGGUGGGGACCACUGAGUCCACAUGGGAGCCGAAGAGAGAGGCAGAGGCAGAGGGCCGCUGAGCGGGUGGGACUGUGUUUGGCAGAAGGCCUUGCGUGCAGACUCGAGCUCAAGGGCAGAGCUGAAGGAAGAGGCGGGCAGGGAGGACAGGGUGAGGUAUCAGGGGCCCCACACUCCCGGGGGGAUGGGGCUGAGGAGGUCACCAGACCUGGACCCGGGGCACUGACUGGCAGACACUCGUGGGGACCCUGGCGGCUGUGUCGUACCGGCCCUCGUAACAGCUGCAUUUCCCACAGCGGCCGGUCCCAGAGGGAGCUGGAGGCACCCUUGGCUUGGAGGAGCAGGGCCGGGCGUGUCUGUGCUUGGGCUGGUUCUCACACCCAGGGUCACACUCCGCUGUGCGCCUGCUGUGCUGUGUGUGAGGACGAUUUGUCACGCUCCUCAUAACACUGUUAGAUCUAUGUCCUGGAACGAUCCUGGGAAGUCACCCAAGUCCCGAUCAUAAAUCUGUGGAGGAUUAUCCUGGGAAUAACAUGGCAGGAGGCCCAGCAUAUUAGCCUCUCAGCAGAGCAGUGCCCUGCCCCGCCUGGAGUUCACAUGGUCCCGACUUGUCGAAGACAUUGGGAGCAAGGCUUUGGAGAAUUUUUGACAUUUAAGGAAACAGAGGCUGCUUGUAAACGGCGAUAACAGCAAACACUUCAGUGAGUGAAAGGCACAAGCUGGUUGACACGAUUUAGCACACGCAUCAGUUUCCCUAAACCGACACCAUUUUAGGGCCUUACACAGGCUUCUGAAGGCAGCCUGAGAGGGUGUGGGUGCUGCUCUGGCCUUUGAGGUGUUGGCGGCCCAUCACUGGGCAGCGGUGCUGACCGGAGGGUCCCACCCACAGGCAUCAGAUUCACUCAAGCUCAACUUGGAGGACAUUCUGAUGUUUGGGAUUUAUUGGAUUUGGCAUAUUUUUAAAUUUUAAAAAAAAAUUUUUUUUUUUUAAUUUAUUUUUGAGGGAGGGAGAGAGAGAGACAGAGCAUGAGCUG